ACUCUUAGUUGCUAGCCUUCAGUACCAGCAGACCUCAGGCUCUCCCGACUAACAACAAAAGAGACAUCAGGAAUGAUCUGAUGGGAGGACCCGACGACGGAACGCCACGAUGCGCGUGACGUCAGCUCGCUGAUGUGGCUUCCUUGGUGGGAGGGAGUGCAACUGGUGUCCUGGGGGCGCCCAGAGAAUGUUCGGGUGAGCCACUCUCCUUCGCCGCCGCGUUGUAGGUGGGAGGGAAGAGAGUACGAAGAGAAAGUGAUCAAUAAAAGAAAGAUAGUAAAAGUGAAACUGAAAGUAGCCUGACGAGCCUCAGUUGAAGAGUGAAUGGUAUUGAAAAGUUGCAGUGUUGUUUUCCUCUAACGGCUAACACCUAUUGAGCUCCUACGCCCUACCAAACACUUUCCUUACCAAGCACCCUGCUAGGAGCUAUGAAGAACUCCCUCACUAAGUAACAGAGAGAAAAAUAAAUUAACGAUUACAAUACAGUGCAAUUAAAUGUCAUGCUAGAAAAAAAAGAUAUGCCAAGUCGGUGCUGUGGAGACCCAGAAUUAGUUUCAACCCAAUAGAGGAGUUGAGGAAAGAAGCAAAGAGAGUAAACUGGACAUGCAAAGAAUAGGGGCCUCAGAGUGUAGGAUAUACUGGCACUUGAGGUAAUCGGGUUAGAAAGAGGAGAUGAGGAAGCUAAAGAAGUAAAUUGGUCACAUCUGGAAGGGUCUAAUCUUUUGGCACGUUAAGGGAUUCGAGAUUUUUCUGCAAGUAAUAGGACGCAAUGGGAUUCCAGAGAGACACCAUGUGAUGGUAUCAUAUAUAAAGAUCGUUCUGCGGGAAGCUGCAGUGGAUAUUCAUGGUCCCUCAUCCAGUUUCCAGUCUAGAUCAAUUCCCCAGACCAUGGUUAUGUCCAGGCUAUAAGGAACCGUCCCAC
rnacentral:lncRNA from 1 species